AACGAACGCUGGCGGCAGGCUUAACACAUGCAAGUCGAACGGGCGUAGCAAUACGUCAGUGGCAGACGGGUGAGUAACACGUGGGAACCUUCCUAGGGGUACGGAACAACUCAGGGAAACUUGAGCUAAUACCGUAUACGUCCGAGAGGAGAAAGAUUUAUCGCCCUUAGACGGGCCCGCGUCGGAUUAGGUAGUUGGGGGGGUAACGGCCUACCAAGCCUACGAUCCGUAGCUGAUCUGAGAGGAUGAUCAGCCACACUGGGACUGAGACACGGCCCAGACUCCUACGGGAGGCAGCAGUGGGGAAUCUUGGACAAUGGGCGCAAGCCUGAUCCAGCCAUGCCGCGUGAGUGAAGAAGGCCUUAGGGUUGUAAAGCUCUUUUGGCAGGGACGAUAAUGACGGUACCUGCAGAAUAAGCCCCGGCAAACUUCGUGCCAGCAGCCGCCGUAAUAC
rnacentral:rRNA from 1 species